rnacentral:rRNA from 1 species
UACGGAGGGGACUAGCGUUGUUCGGAAUUAUUGGGCGUAAAGAGCUUGUAGGCGGUCUGUCGCGUCUGCUGUGAAAAUCCGGGGCUCAACCCCGGACUUGCAGUGGGUACGGGCAGACUAGAGUGUGGUAGGGGAGACUGGAAUUCCUGGUGUAGCGGUGAAAUGCGCAGAUAUCAGGAGGAACACCGAUGGCGAAGGCAGGUCUCUGGGCCACUACUGACGCUGAGAAGCGAAAGCAUGGGGAGCGAACAGG